UAGGAUCCACUCAUUGCCACCUAGGCAUCUACCUCAGCUGCGAACAAUGAUAUGCAUAAUCACCAUUUUGGGUCUGUUCAGUUUUCUGCAUUGUAAUAAUUUUAUUACUAAAACAUGGAGUAUUUGGUUGCAUUCUAUGUAUUUGUUUUUGGUAGGAAAGCUCUGGUAGAUGUGGUCCAUUCCGUACUUAACAUCGUAUAAAUGAUUCUAUAAAUUUAUCCUGAUUAACUAACUGUUGAGGAGUUCAGCAUGGUUUGUUAGAUUUCUGAAAAAACAUGUUAGAUGACUAGCUUUGAGAAUAUGAAACAUAAAUAAUUGGUACUUCUGUAUCGUUAAGCUAGCUCCAAGUGUAGGUGUUAUGUCAUCUCAUGCCAUGACAUCCAUUCUUUGUUAACUUAGGUGAUGCUAUUGUCCACAAUGGUGAGACUUGUAUCAUCUUUCAGUCUAUUAUUUAGUUCGCCAAAGUGCAGGGAGUUCGCCCAAGAACAUCAUAUGGGAUAGGUACAAUACAAUUGCAAUUUGAAAUCAGUAAGACUACCAUUGUCUUAGGAUGAUGCAUGACCAUGAUCAUUUAUUUGUACUUCAAAUUACUACUUUCAUUCUCUUCUUAUUAUUUACUUUUUUUGUGUAAUUGAAUUUUUCUAGGUCUAUUUAAAUAUCUUGGUGCUGAUGAGGUCAUCGUAGAAAGAAUGUCAAUAGGUUUGCUAACCUGCAUUUCCCACGUUGUUGUCCUAAAACACUUCUAUUUGUAUACUGAAACAAUUUGUUGGAAACAAGUAUUUUUCUCAUUUGAGAAAGUAACAUUUAGCAACUUUAAUACUUCGUCUCUCUGUAUAUUUCGUAAGUUCCUGUCAUCCUGUUGGGGACAUCCUGUUGGGGAAACAGAUGGGUCCAGCAACGCGCGCCAUUAUAUCUCUGCAUCGAUUCUUUUCACUUAAAUCUUUCUAACCGCCACUCCUUGCAUAUUGACAGGUCCAUUGGUAUAAAAAUUAGUGACAUCAACUAAUCAAUAAUAACAUCAGAUAUUUCAGAUAACAAGACAGAAGUGAAUGGGUGCAAGGAGAGGGAAAACAAGAUCAUUGACCAGAUCAAGGGUCAAUGAUCUACAAGUCAGUACAAGUCAUCUCAAACAUCAUGA
rnacentral:lncRNA from 1 species